rnacentral:rRNA from 1 species
CCUACGGGAGACAGCAGUGAGGAAUAUUGGUCAAUGGGCGCGAGCCUGAACCAGCCAAGUCGCGUGAGGGAGGACGGCCCUACGGGUUGUAAACCUCUUUUGCCGGGGAGCAACGUGCGCCACGUGUGGCGUCACUGAGAGUACCCGGAUAAAAAGCAUCGGCUAACUCCGUGCCAGCAGCCGCGGUAAUCAGGAGGAUGCGAGCUUUAUCCGGAUUUAUUGGGUUUAAGGGGGGCGUAAGCGGAUCGUUAUGGCAGUGGUAAAAUUGAGGGGCUCAACCCCAUCCCGCCAUUGAAACUGGCGUUCUUGAGUGGAAGAGAGGUAUGCGGAAUGCGUGGUGUAGCGGUGAAAUGCAUAGAUAUCACGCAGAACCCCGAUUGCGAAGGCAGCAUGCCGGCUUCCGACUGACGCUGAAGCACGAAAGCGUGGGGAUCGAACAGGAUUAGAUACCCUGGUAGUC